rnacentral:sRNA from 1 species
AUUUAGCCCCGAUAGAAGUGGAAAUCCUUUUGUGCCGGGGUUCGGCGCAAAAGAUUGAAACAAAUAGCGGGACUAGAC